UGCCUGUAGGACUUAGUGCACAGGG
rnacentral:piRNA from 1 species